CCGAUACGUCUCGUCUCAAGCCUCCGCCUUUUUUUUUUUCUUAAUUUUUAAAAUGUCACAUCUGAAUCCACUGUCCCAGCUGCGUCGGAUUGACAAUACCAGGAAUGUGGGUCCCAUCACUCCUCAACAAGCUAGAUAUCUCAACAUAAUUCUGGCUCGGCUUCGGCUCAUCCGGGCUCGACUUUCUCUUCUUCGGGUCGGCUACAGGAGUAGCAGCAGCAUUAGCUCUAGGUCGAGCCGGGUCAAAUUUCUGACCCAAUAAAGUACCUUUAGUUAAAUACUCAUAAGCCAUAUACCCGGCUAAAACUGAAUUAGGCAUUUGAUGAGGAGGAUGACCCUUUUUUUUGGGGUCGGGUUUAGGAAACGACGUCGUAAGGUUAGCAUUACUAACGGACGUUAGUGGAUUUGACGGUCUUGGAGACGAAUAAAACGUGUCUCGGUCUUUUCGCUUCCGUGAUGACUCGUCAAGAGUUAAGAUUCGCCGUGAGUGAUAAUUCAUCCUAGCCGUCCAAUCUUAAUCUACAGCAUGCCACGUCACCGCACUUUUAAAAUAAAAUAAAAAAGCGAUAAAAAAGGAAGAAAAAAAAAGUGAAGUUACGGUUAAGG
rnacentral:misc_RNA from 1 species